CGGGAGGAAAGACAGGGAAAGAGGAUGCGGAAGGAGAAUGAUAACAGCGCAAGGCCUUUUAAAAUCUGCUCAUUUCACUACGUCACUGGUAGUACACUGCCCAAACACUGCUCUCCAGGGACUCAAGGAGACUCUUCCCAAAGCAUAGUUCUUGCUUUUUUUAAGCCUCUAUCAGUUCUGCAGCCGACGUGUCUCUGUGAUGGAUUCUCUUCCCUCCAUUGUCUUGCCGAUGGAUCAUCUCUCACCUGAACCAUGGCAGGAGCCUCCCACAGCUUUUCCCACCUCCGACAGUAGAGAGAUCUCCAGAAUGCACACCGACCCUCCGCCUAGUGCCCGUUGCCCAUUCCCAUUGGCUACAGUGAGCAAAGGUUUGGAAGCCGUCUACAUUUGCCAGCCCCUCAGCGUGAGCAGGUACAAGGUGGUGAGGCCUUUGUUCAGCCCAAACAAGCACCCAAGCAGCUUUCCAGGCCCCCACGCAGCCACGGAGCACAGCAACAAAAGGACCUUGGAAAGCUGUGCAAGCCUGGGAUGCUGACUGAACAAAUAUCCCUGAACUGUGGUUUGGCUCCAGGUAUCGGACACCUCUCCUGCGUUCGGG
rnacentral:lncRNA from 1 species